AAAAAUGUGGAACACUUCACGAAUUUGCAUGUUAUCCUUGCACAGGGCCCAUGCUAAUCUUCUUUGUAUCCUUCCAAUUUUAAUAUAUGUGCUGCCGAAGCAAGCAC
rnacentral:snRNA from 1 species